CGGGUGCAGAGCUGGGGUCAGAGCCCACUGUCCUGUCACCGGGUGCAGAGCUGGGGUCAGAGCCCACUGUCCUGUCACCGGGUGCAGAGCUGGGGUCAGAGCCCACUGUCCUGUCACCAGGUGCAGAGCUGGGGUCAGAGCCCACUGUCUCGUCAGCCUUUGUAUCACACCUAUUCAAGAUUUUCACAAACCAGUUGCUAACCCUGCCACUCAAUCCCCAGACAUCUCCUUUUUUCUUAAUUCAAACCUCGUUUUCCUUGUCCUGGUGUCCUGAAGGCUCCCCACAUCUCAAUACCACCCAAAGCUUCGUCACUGACUCUCAAACCACAGCUCCCCUGGGAAGCCCCUCCUACCAGUCAGCAGUCCCACUCACUCUUCCUCUUUGGUUCACACCUGAAAUUUUUUUCUAUGCAGAAUAUGGGAACCAAGAAGCAUCUGGAGACCAAGAACCAAGUUUGCUGCCCUAUCUCAGCAGACCUCUGUUUUCAAAGAGGAAGCCAGUGGCCUGAGAGCUGCUGUUGUCUGACGUUCCAGGAUCCACCGUUUCUCACAUCACACAAACAAGUACCCAGGAAGCAACUCUGUCAAUAGUGUGCCUUUGGAGUUUUCCAUAUUCACCCCCUCUGGCUCUGGCUUGUGAUGUAUAAUUCCCACUCAUCAAUCAGAUCCUCAGCAAAGUCUUUCUCCAAACUUCUUCUGACCAGGAAAGCCAGAUUCAGGCCUCCCAGACGUGUCCCACGGGAGAGUGUCUCCAUUCGCCAUUCCUCCCAGCUCUGUCAAUUCAGCAUAUAACAGUUCAGAA